GGGAGAAGAUAGAGAUGCAGAGAGGCAAGACACUAGCCCAAGGCCACAGUUAGAAAAAGGCAAAGUUCAGAUGCAAAGCCAGAUAUUCCCUGGGACCCAAACCUGAAGCCCCUGGGCUGCCCUUCCUCAGCGGGGCUGACUGGAGCAGUUACUGAUGGCACCAGCUUAAAGAGGAAAUGGAGAGUGUGUUUGCGUGUUUUCUGCCAUGAAAUAGGCAUCCUGAGACAAUCUCUUCAUAACUGAUGUAGCCCAGCCCUCUGUACUGAAAUUGCUGGACUCACACGAGGCCCAGAUGUGGUUUAAAGAGCAUGUGGGGGAAAUUUCCGUAGGAGCAACACAGAUCUCUCUAUUCAGAGUUUUUCUUGUGGGCAGCUUGCAUUUACUCAUUCUUUCAUUCCAGAAGUAUUUAUUUAGCCCCUGCUAUGUGCCAGGCAUUGUGAUAAUAGUUGGAAUGCAGAGGUGAAUUAAAGAGUAUGGGCUUGUCUAUAUAAAUAAAUAAAUAUAUAUGUAUAUGUGUGUGUAUA
rnacentral:lncRNA from 10 species